rnacentral:rRNA from 1 species
GUCAGCCGCCGCGGUAACACCGGCGGCCCGAGUGGUGAUCGUGAUUAUUGGGUCUAAAGGGUCCGUAGCCGGUUUGGUCAGUCCUCCGGGAAAUCUGAUAGCUCAACUAUUAGGCUUUCGGGGGAUACUGCCAGACUUGGAACCGGGAGAGGUAAGAGGUACUACAGGGGUAGGAGUGAAAUCUUGUAAUCCCUGUGGGACCACCUGUGGCGAAGGCGUCUUACCAGAACGGGUUCGACGGUGAGGGACGAAAGCUGGGGGCACGAACCGGAUUAGAUACCCGGGUAGUCCCAGCCGUAAACGAUGCUCGCUAGGUGUCAGGCGUGGCGCGACCGUGUCUGGUGCCGCAGGGAAGCCGUGAAGCGAGCCACCUGGGAAGUACGGCCGCAAGGCUGAAACUUAAAGGAAUUGGCGGGGGAGCACAACAACGGGUGGAAGCCUGCGGUUUAAUUGGACUCAACGCCGGACAACUCACCGGGGGCGACAGCAAUAUGUAGGCCAAGCUGAAGACUUUGCCUGAAUCGCUGAGGGGUGGUGCAUGG